GAUCAUGGCUCAGGAUGAACGCUAGCUACAGGCUUAACACAUGCAAGUCGAGGGGCAGCAUGGUCUUAGCUUGCUAAGGCCGAUGGCGACCGGCGCACGGGUGAGUAACGCGUAUCCAACCUGCCUUACACUCUUGGACAGCCCUCUGAAAGGGAGAUUAAUACAAGAUGUUAUCAUGAGUAAGCAUUUUCGCACGAUUAAAGGUUUACCGGUGUAAGAUGGGGAUGCGUUCCA
rnacentral:rRNA from 1 species